CAGCCUGCUCAGCGUUGCCCUUCCCUUGGUGCACUGCAUGAGCACAGCUAAUGCUUUGGAUAUGCACAGGGAUGGGCUCUGCCAGGUGGGACAUCAAGAAUACACAAGAGUGAUGCUGUAGCUGUGAGCUUCAUCCAGAAUGAAAAAAAGCUGAGUUUAUGGAGUUCCAGAAACCAGCCUCAAGAUGACUGGCACCAUUCAGAAGAAGCAGUUUUCUCGGUAGGGAAGAGUAUCAUAGAUUCAUGGAAUAGCUCAGUUUGUAAAACACCUUGAGAAGUCACCUGUUUCCAACCAUUCAAGCCUGUCACAAUGAUUCUUCAGAAUGAUAAUUUUCCAGAUAUAAUUCUAAGUAUUUUACUUGAUUCUUGACUUCUCAAAGAAGCAAAACCUAUUUCUUGAAGCAACUUUUAAAAGAAUCGUACUCUUACAGGUUAUAGAAUAUACAAAGCGAAAUUAAACCCACAAGAUAUGUUAAAAGAAUUACACUCUUGCGCUGGAAUGGCAUAAAUAAUUAGGGAUAGAGCUUCCGUUUUAGAUUUAUGCAGCUGAGAAGAGAAAACUUGGAAAAAGCAUGUAUUGAACUAUUCAAUAUCCCACAAAGUGUAAAUUAAAAAUAAAAAUUAUACCACGGAAAAUGCUACUUUGAGU
rnacentral:lncRNA from 1 species